rnacentral:misc_RNA from 1 species
CUUUAACCUAGAUUUUUAGCCCAAAGCCCUAUCAUUGAUAAGGCCCAAAUUGAAACAAUAUCGCAAGAGAUCAAAAUCAAGUGAAGAACUCAAGAUUGUUGUUUUGGCAUAGGACAAGUCAUGGAGAAGGCAUCCCAGGACGCAACCGUAACAGUUCUGCGCCCUAAGCUACUUAUCAACACAAAGGAACCGGGCCUCCAAUGGCUGAUUGGAUCCCCAUUUGUCCCGCCUUUCACAAUCAUUUCCACCUUCAGAUGUAUCCAUUACCUGGAAAACUCUUCCUCCCCAGAUUACAACAAAGAAUCUGAAGAUGCUCGAGCACUGCUGUUGAAGGGAUUUGGUGUGAUCGGAGCGUUAAUUGCUGGAAGCUCUGAUUUCGAAAGAACUGCUCGCGAGGCUAUCGAUGCUGCUCGUCAAUUGAGGAAGCUUCUCUCUGAUGGAAGAGAAUUGACGAGUCAAGAAAUGAUAGGAGCAGUUGCGGAUUUGGAUACUGGUCACGUUCAUUUUUUUCUCUCAAGAUAUGGAAAUUCAACAAGCGUUUUAUCUCCUGCUUCUGUUGUUUACAAAGAUCAUCCCGAGGAGUAUGUUUGGGAAAGAGGUUGUUUGAUUCGAUGUCAGCUUCCGAUUAAGUUGCCAUUUUGUAUUCCUGUAGGAAAUCCACCUGAUGUGGAGAGGAUGUACUUGCGUGCAACUGAAGCUGCUGUUGCCCAACUUAAAGAUUCACAUGUUGUAUUCAUGCUAGAGAGACUAAGCAAAGGGUCUUCAAACGCAACUCAACCUAUCAUUCUCCAUGGUAGAGAACUGGAUUUUAGCACGGAUCUCUUAGAUAUCAAACUUGUGGAUGUAGAAGCUUCUCAAGAUUCUGAUCCAAAAACAUUAACAUGCAGAAACUUUUGUUUGAAAAGCAAAUCUUCUCCAACAGUGAUUUCUGUGGAGAAUGCAGAUACAAUCCAAGUGAGUGUUCUGCUUAAUAGAUCAGAAAAGUCCCAAAAAUCCAUGGCACCCGUUGCAGAAUAUUUUCCAGCUUUGGAAGAAGCCAGACUUCUCGUUGUGGAUUUUGAGCUAGAUGUGCUCUGUUAUGCAGCCAAGGAUCUUUCACUGAUGUAUGCAAUUUCAAAGUUGGUAAUACCUGGUUUAGUUGACCAAUUAAACUCAAUGAAGAAAGCUGUCUUGCCCAAACUUUUAACAGAACGUCCACAGCUACAUUCAUACCACUUUAAUCCACCUGGGUUUUUGCAUCCAAUAACUGCCAUCUACGAACUCAGUUAUGGGGAAACGGAAAUGAAACAAUGUAAGCAUUAGACAGUAAUAACACCUGACUUUUUGUGCUAAGUUAUAUAAGUACUCACAGAGCAUGUGCUUUUUAUGAUGGGAAAAGUAAUAUUUUGGCUUUUUAAAGAAAGUCAUUCUUGAAGGUUGCAAAUUUCAGAUCUAUCAACUAAGAUGGAUUCUUCUGUAACCCUCUUUAAGUAGCACAUGUAAAAUCUAAUACACCCAAAUAAUUGACGUCAUCAGUGAGGCAGUUGGGGAUGCUCUUUUCUUUAUAAUCUCUUGAUUAAUAUGUGAAAAGAAAGGGGUGUGUCUCCAAUUUAUGUGGCAAUUAAUAAAAAGCUUCAAUAGCUAGUCUGCCUAUUUUUGACACCAGUAUUUCUUGUUGCUUGUUGAUGGAGAAAAGGGGUAUUUGUUUGGUAGAUGGAGCUUUAGAGGAUAGAGAGGAACCAGGUCAUAAUCUAUAUUGUAGUUUGGUCUCUUAAAGAAUUCACCAGAACUUAUUCUCUGCAGUUGAAGUCAGAAGAUCCUUGCACUUGAGGCUGGGGCUACCUUUUGAUCGUCCUCUUCUACGAGUCGCUAAUGCACUUGAUUUCUCUACAUUGAAGGAUAAUUCAGGAAGUAACUCAAGACGAAAAGGCCUUUCUCUGCUAAAAGAUGUGCAUAUUGGGAUCCCAAGUAGCGGAGUCUCGGGGGGAAUUGUCUCUUUGGUUCAAGGUUCUUAUGAAUAUCAUCAUUAUCUUCAAGAUGGCUUUGAUGACUCGGGCUGGGGUUGUGCUUACCGUUCUCUACAAACUAUCAUUUCAUGGUUCAGACUCCAGCAUUAUACUUCCAUUGAAGUUCCCUCUCAUAGGUAUGAAAAGUUCCAUCACUGGCCACUGGUAAUGUACAGAGUUCUCAAGAUUCUGUUACUAGUUGUAAUCUCGCCUUUCGCAUGAGUAAUUUUUUAAUCUGUUUUAUUUUAUGUUAAAAUUAUAGCUAUUACCGGAACAACAAUAGAAAUUUUAAUUCCCCUUUUGGGUUGGGGGUGGGGGAUAGUGAAGUAUUAUCAUAAAAUUCAAGUCCUUACUUUUGGUAUUAAUAUCAUUACAUUAAGCAACACUUGUGUGUAGGGAAAUACAGCAAUCACUAGUGGAAAUUGGUGAUAAAGAUCCUUCUUUUAUUGACUCACGUGAAUGGAUUGGUGCUAUUGAGUUGAGCUUUGUUUUGGAUAAACUUCUGGGUGUAAGUGUGCCUUUUAGUUUUAUUUUAUCCUUUGUGAUGAAUAUUGACAAUAUCUAGUCCACAAUGUUUGUUCUGUUCUAAAUAUGUGGAAUAUGAAGGAAUGCUGAAUUAUUGUCGAUGGAUUUGACAGGUAACUUGCAAAAUCAUAAAUGUCAGAUCAGGAGCUGAGCUUCCUGAAAGAUGUAGAGAGCUGGCCUUGCACUUUGAGAAUCAAGGAACACCUAUUAUGAUAGGUAAGUAUGAUGCAUAUAAUUUUUUCUUUCUCCGGUUAACUUUCGUUAAAUGCUUCUCCUCUCAAAGAUGAAUCAACUUAGGAUGGUUGUGUAACUUGCCAAUGUUUGGGUUCUGCUGAGCUUACUGCAACAUGUCUCAGAUUUUUAAGAUGUUCUGGUGAGGAGAAGAAUAAAGGUAAUGGAAUAAUCGUAUCAUGUGUCUCUCUGACUGCACCUUACGUGAAUGCAGGUGGCGGUGUUCUUGCAUAUACACUUUUGGGAGUUGAUUACAAUGAAAGUAGUGGAGAUUGUGCUUUUCUAAUACUUGAUCCUCAUUAUACUGGAAAUGAUGAGCACAAGAAAAUUAUAAAUGGUGGUUGGUGUGGAUGGAAAAAAGCUGUUGAUAGCAAGGGAAAGAAUUUCUUCUUGCAUGACAAGUUCUAUAAUCUUCUCCUGCCACAGAGGCCCAACAUGGUUUAGUACGGUCAACUUGGUAUCCUCAACACCUCCAUACAUAAAAGGAAGCUUUAUAACAAUUUGCAUGCCAUGAAAAGUUUAUAAUUUAGCAGUUGGACUGAGGCCACUUUCCAAUUACUUAAAAUAUAGUUUUGGGAUUUCUUUUGUGAAUGGGGUGAAGUGCUUUGAAUCGGCAUUCAUUCUGGUUGAUAUUUGAUUUUUGCUUAUACUCUAGAGAGGAAAUGUCAGUGCAAAUAUAGCAAUUGGACUGAGGCCACCAAUGGGGGACAAUAUCUUCUUCCAAGUGUAAUGCUUAAAAUAGAGUUUUGAGAUUUCUGUUGCGAGUGUUAGCUUGUACUUGACAAAGGGAAUCUGUAUCUUAGAGUUAUUUAUUGGUGAUUUCGAAGGUGACUUGUGAUUGUUUUGAGCAUGUUAUUCUUGUACUGUUACGAAAUGAGAAAGAUACCUUAAUUCUUGA